rnacentral:rRNA from 1 species
AGGGGAGUGAAAAAGAACCUGAAACCGUGUACGUACAAGCAGUGGGAGCACGCUUAGGCGUGUGACUGCGUACCUUUUGUAUAAUGGGUCAGCGACUUAUAUUCUGUAGCAAGGUUAACCGAAUAGGGGAGCCGAAGGGAAACCGAGUCUUAACUGGGCGUUAAGUUGCAGGGUAUAGACCCGAAACCCGGUGAUCUAGCCAUGGGCAGGUUGAAGGUUGGGUAACACUAACUGGAGGACCGAACCGACUAAUGUUGAAAAAUUAGCGGAUGACUUGUGGCUGGGGGUGAAAGGCCAAUCAAACCGGGAGAUAGCUGGUUCUCCCCGAAAGCUAUUUAGGUAGCGCCUCGUGAAUUCAUCUCCGGGGGUAGAGCACUGUUUCGGCAAGGGGGUCAUCCCGACUUACCAACCCGAUGCAAACUGCGAAUACCGGAGAAUGUUAUCACGGGAGACACACGGCGGGUGCUAACGUCCGUCGUGAAGAGGGAAACAACCCAGACCGCCAGCUAAGGUCCCAAAGUCAUGGUUAAGUGGGAAACGAUGUGGGAAGGCCCAGACAGCCAGGAUGUUGGCUUAGAAGCAGCCAUCAUUUAAAGAAAGCGUAAUAGCUCACUGGUCGAGUCGGCCUGCGCGGAAGAUGUAACGGGGCUAAACCAUGCACCGAAGCUGCGGCAGCGACGCUGAUGCGUUGUUGGGUAGGGGAGCGUUCUGUAAGCCUGUGAAGGUGUGC